rnacentral:tmRNA from 1 species
GGGGGCGUAAAUGGUUUCGACGGGGAUAUAGAAGGAAGAUAAGCGAGUCGUUGCGCUGAACAACGUAAAAAGCGGCAAAAAAAAAUAAACGCAAACGAAGAAAAUUUAGCUUACGCAGCUUAAAAGCUGCCAGCUUGUUCCGCUUAACCGACCUGUAGGUUAAACCGGGGCAUCAUUAAAAUCAGGGAAGACUUAAGGAGCUCUUCGACCUUAAGUUGAAUAAUCGAAGAUAGCCGGUACUAUAGCUUGGGCAUAGGCGAUAGUAAAGGCGAAAAUAAAAUUAUGUCCUGCACUCGGAGAAAGUCUUGUGGAAAUAUUUUCGGACGUGGGUUCGACUCCCACCGCCUCCAUCA